CACACCUGAGUAGGCAGCUGAGGCCAGCCUUUUAUUUGGUGCUUGAUUUGAUUCCAGUCACCUGCCUGUCUUCAACUGGGGGAGGGGAAUGUGCUUCUAAGUCAAGCAAGGCCUAACGACGUCCCUGCUACUGCACAUGUUUUGGUUGUGCCCUAAGUUACACAAUUUUUGGCAGUCCAUCUUUGAGGCAUUCUCUGGAAUAUGUGGAAGAACAAUACACCCAUCUCCUCUGAUUUCACUGUUCGGUGUGGCUCCGUGGAACGCCACCUUUUCUGGGCACCACCUGGGCAUGAUGGCCUUCUGCUCUUUGUUGGCUAGGAGGCUUAUCCUAUUUAGGUGGAAAGAUGCUCUCCCCCCCCAACAUAUGGCCAAUGGAUUAGGGAGGUCAUGAGUUAUGUUCACUUAGAAAAAAUAAGAUACACUGUAAGAAGGUCCACUAGAAAAUUUGAUAUCAUUUGGCAGCCAUUUAUCUCCUUUGUAGAAGGCACGGCAGCUACUAACAUUUCAAUGUAAGCGAAUUG